rnacentral:rRNA from 1 species
AGUGAACGCUGGCGGUAGGCCUAACACAUGCAAGUCGAACGGCAGCACAGGGGAGCUUGCUCCCUGGGUGGCGAGUGGCGGACGGGUGAGGAAUACAUCGGAAUCUACUCUGUCGUGGGGGAUAACGUAGGGAAACUUACGCUAAUACCGCAUACGACCUACGGGUGAAAGCAGGGGACCUUCGGGCCUUGCGCGAUUGAAUGAGCCGAUGUCGGAUUAGCUAGUUGGCGGGGUAAAGGCCCACCAAGGCGACGAUCCGUAGCUGGUCUGAGAGGAGGAUCAGCCACACUGGAACUGAGACACGGUCCAGACUCCUACGGGAGGCAGCAGUGGGGAAUAUUGGACAAUGGGCGCAAGCCUGAUUCAGCCAUACCGCGUGGGUGAAGAAGGCCUUCGGGUUGUAAAGCCCUUUUGUUGGGAAAGAAAUCCAGCUGGCUAAUACCCGGUUGGGAUGACGGUACCCAAAGAAUAAGCACCGGCUAACUUCGUGCCAGCAGCCGCGGUAA